AGUGAACGCUGGCGGCAGGCCUAACACAUGCAAGUCGAACGGCAGCACAGGAGAGCUUGCUCUCUGGGUGGCGAGUGGCGGACGGGUGAGGAAUACGUCGGAAUCUGCCUAUUUGUGGGGGAUAACGUAGGGAAACUUACGCUAAUACCGCAUACGACCUACGGGUGAAAGCGGAGGACCUUCGGGCUUCGCGCAGAUAGAUGAGCCGACGUCGGAUUAGCUUGNGGCGGGGUAAAGGCCCACCAAGGCGACGAUCCGUAGCUGGUCUGAGAGGAUGAUCAGCCACACUGGAACUGAGACACGGUCCAGACUCCUACGGGAGGCAGCAGUGGGAAUNUUGGACAAUGGGCGCAAGCCUNAUCCAGCCAUGCCGCGUG
rnacentral:rRNA from 1 species